AUCCAGUUGACCAGUCCCAAAUAAAAUGAAAUGCGCGUCAUGGAU
rfam:Schistosoma mattheei strain Denwood, Zambia genome assembly, scaffold: SMTD_scaffold0003813